rnacentral:rRNA from 1 species
GAUCCUGGCUCAGGACGAACGCUGGCGGCGUGCCUAAUACAUGCAAGUAGAACGCUGAAGGAGGAGCUUGCUUCUCUGGAUGAGUUGCGAACGGGUGAGUAACGCGUAGGUAACCUGCCUGGUAGCGGGGGAUAACUAUUGGAAACGAUAGCUAAUACCGCAUAAGAGUAGAUGUUGCAUGACAUUUACUUAAAAGGUGCAAUUGCAUCACUACCAGAUGGACCUGCGUUGUA